rnacentral:misc_RNA from 1 species
AGUAGAAGCUAUCUUAUUUUAAAAAUAAGCAUUAAAAUUCCAACUUAAAAGAUUUCUUAUAAAUCGCCAUUUUUAUUGGAUAUAUCGGGGUGUUCACUCUGCUAGAUAAACUGAAAGAACUAGAAAGGACUGUUUUGAAAGGCAAACUAAAAAAACUAAAAAAAAUAUUUUUUGUGCAUAAUUGAUUCAAUAAUUAUAAAAAAUACAUUUUCCAGUUAUUCAACUGUGUUUUUUAAAAAUAGUUUUAUACAUUUUUUUAAGUUUGUUUUGAGGUGACACCCUGUUUAUUAUGACAUCCGGCCUUAAAGAAAUGUAAACAAACCAAAAAGUAGAGUAUCAAAUUGUAGAUUGAACCUUGCGAAAGCGUUUUACUGUUAUUUUUAAGGAGUUAUAAAAUCUUUAAUAUAUAUUAACUAUAUUAUCAAGCUUAAUUUAUUACAAUAAUAAAAAAAAUGCCUCCUGUAAAAAGAACUAGACGGUGUAAUUUAUAUGGUGGUAGCCCUUCUGAUCUUCCUAUUACAGAUCUAGCAACUUAUGGUGAUGUAGCAAGAUUUUUCUACAAAUUAAAAGAUUUAGAUGGUAUUAAAGACAAAAAUAUUAUUAUUCAAAGAACGCUUUGUAGUUUAAAAGAAAUAUGGUUCAAUUGCAAUUCCAAAUUAGUUUUGUUACCUGAAAAAAGUUUGAUUGUUAAACUUUUAAGAUUUUAUAAUGUUAUUUCUUGGAAUGGAAAUAAAAUUAAACCUUUGACCAAAAAAUUGUUGGAAAAAAAUAAAGAAAAACUUUUUGAUCUGCUAGCAUGUAACUGCAAGCUUGAAGUUCUUCCUUGUGAUGACAGGAAUAUCAAAUGCUCAGGUUGUUCAAAUGUGCAUCUUUACUGUAGUUGUGUUGGUAGUAAAAAAGUUCCUUUGGAAGAGCGCUCCUAUAUAAAAGACCAAAGGGAGAAAAUUGGUACUAAAGGAAAGUUUCAAAUAGGAGGUAUUGAUAACUCUGUUUUAUCACCUACUUCAAGAAAAACAAAGCAAACAAAAGCUUCUGAUGAAGAAAUUUAUAUUAAAGAGUUUGACACAAUCAUGGAUUCAGAUCAGAGUGAAACUUCAAUUUCAUCAUUAAAUCAGACUAGAUCAAAGAACUAUAACACUACCCACUAUCCCAAAUUUGCUUUAGAGGUAAUUAGAUAUGGAAUAUCAGAUGAAGCAGCUGCCGCUGUAGCUAAUGCUCUACUUCAAGAUAUUGGUUAUCUACAUCUAAAUGAUGUAAUUGAUCCAAGUAAAAUGAAAAGAGAGAAAGAACGAGUAUGCUUUAAUGCUAGUUUUGAGCAAUCUAAAGUUUCAAAUAUAAAGGCAAUUGGUUUGGAUAGCAAACGUAAUAAAAACUCAUUGGUUUAUGAACAGAGAGAUAUUGAUGGUGAAAUAAAUCUUUGUUAACUGUAGACCACUUGACAUUCACAAUUGAAUCAGGCGAGUUGCAAGGUCAAUAUCUAAAGCACAUAGAUGUACCUAAAGAAAAAGGUAAAGGAAAAGAUCUUGCUGAAUUUACCUGUAAUGUUCUCAAGGAGUUUAAGAGUGAUAAAAGUAUCCAGGCAAUAAUUUUGGACAAUACAAGUGUUAAUACAGGACCAGUUGGAAAAUCUUUGACAAAUCCAAUUCAUUUAAAUUUAACUGUUGACUUCAUACAAGUUGAGACAGACAUUGAAUAUCCUCCUCUGUGUGUCAUUAAAGACCUCUCUGCUGACCAGAGAAUGCUACUGGAAUAUAGUAUUGGAAUUUCUAGAGGGUUUUCAGACAAUAAGUAUCUGAGAAAAAAAAAUAGGCCCUAUUUGUCAUGCAAGGUGGCUGACAACAGCAGUACGGAUCUUGGCACUAUACACAAGAACAAUCAAUCCCAGUAGAGAGCUCAAAAUCUUUGUUGAAUAUAUUCAAACAGUAUAUACUCCUAUGUGGUUUAAUAUUAAAAAGUCUAAGAGUUUCACAGAGGGUCCUAAACUUAUUUUCCAAUUUAUUCAGCGGAUUUUGAGGUUGGAUACUGAAGUUCAAAAUAUUACAUUGCCCAUAAUUUAUAGAAACUCUUUUUGUCUCCAACCUGAAAAUUUUAUUGCUGCUCUACUUUAUUCUGAAGAACAGGUUUAUAGAACAAUUGCUGUUGUUAAGAUUUUGGAAACAAGAAAAACUCUAAUUAAGGAUCCUAAAAAUGGAUUAAAAGAUGGUAUUAGGGUUAAUGCCAUUUCAAUUAUUGAUUGUAGAUGUAAAAACUGGUCAAAAUUAAUAAAUCUGUAUGAUAUAGACUGUUUUGAGCCCCCUUGUGUGGAAGAUAUAUCAAAUGAGGAGCUUUUGAAUAUGAUACCGAAUCAGGGAAAGGCUCCCAACUUUCCGUGCCACUCGCAAACGGUCAAAAGAGCAGUGAAAAUGACUUCUGAUGCUAGCGGAAAAUUUAUUAACCUCAAGAAAAGAAAUGCUUAUAUUUUAGCUAAAUGCCAAAGUCAAAAGAAACGAAAAUAUUUUAGAACAAAGAAAGAUUAUACAUUGUAAUUUGUUAUCAUUUCUUUAAAUUAAUCUAUUUGGUAAUA